rnacentral:misc_RNA from 1 species
AGCAGCCGCGGUAAUUCCAGCUCCAAUAGCGUAUAUUAAAGUUGUUGCGGUUAAAAAGCUCGUAGUUGAAUUUCGGGAUUGACACAUCGGUCGUGCCUUAAGGGGUAUGAACUGGUGUAGUCAAUUUCUCACCUUCUGGAGAACCGCGAUGCCCUUAAUUGGGUGUCGCGGGGAACCAGGACCUUUACUUUGAAAAAAUUAGAGUGUUUAAAGCAGGCAUUUUGCUUGAAUACAUUAGCAUGGAAUAAUAAAAUAGGACGGCAUGAUUCUAUUUUGUUGGUUUCUAGGAUCACCGUAAUGAUUAAUAGGGAUAGUUGGGGGCAUUAGUAUUCAAUUGUCAGAGGUGAAAUUCUUGGAUUUAUUGAAGACUAACUACUGCGAAAGCAUUUGCCAAGGAUGUUUUCAUUAAUCAAGAACGAAAGUUAGGGGAUCGAAGACGAUCAGAUACCGUCGUAGUCUUAACCAUAAACUAUGCCGACUAGGAAUCAGACGAUGUUAAUUUUUUAAUGACUCGUUUGGC